AGAGUUUGAUCCUGGCUCAGGAUGAACGCUGGCGGCGUGCCUAAUACAUGCAAGUCGAGCGAACAGAUAAGGAGCUUGCUCCUUUGAAGUUAGCGGCGGACGGGUGAGUAACACGUGGGUAACCUACCUAUAAGACUGGGAUAACUUCGGGAAACCGGAGCUAAUACCGGAUAACAUUUAGAACCGCAUGGUUCUAAAGUGAAAGAUGGUUUUGCUAUCACUUAUAGAUGGACCCGCGCCGUAUUAGCUAGUUGGUAAGGUAACGGCUUACC
rnacentral:rRNA from 1 species